rnacentral:misc_RNA from 1 species
UGUUGGUAAUGAGAAAAUGAAGGCCAGUAAAAAUGUGAGGCAUAUUAUUAUUCCAUGCUCUAGUUCUGCAAGACCUCAGCUUAUUCCUGAUAUCAUUCGGUGCUACGGCAGUGGAGGACGUACAAUUAUUUUUACUGAGACAAGGGCGCUGGCUUCAGAGCUAGCUGGCUUACUGCCUGGGGCAAGUGCUUUGCAUGGGGAGAUACAACAGAACCAGCGUGAGGCUACACUUAAAGGAUUCAGAUCAGGCAAAUUCAUGACAUUAGUGGCCACAAAUGUGGCAGCCCGUGGAUUGGAUAUCGAUGAUGUUCAGUUAAUUAUCCAGUGCGAAGCCACUAGUGACGUGGAAGCAUACAUUCAUCGAUCUGGAAGGACAGGACGGGCUGGAAAGAGUGGCGUUGCUGUAAUGCUGUAUGAUCCAAGGAAGUCAAACAUUUCUAGAAUCGAAAAAGAAUCUGGUGUGACCUUUGAGCAUUUGUCUGCUCCUCAGCCAGCUGAUGUUGCCAAGGCAGCUGGGAAAGAAGCUGCUGAUAUAAUUGCGGGUAUUUCUGAUAGUGUCAUACCUGUAUUUAAGGCUGCUGCAGAGGAGCUUCUGAAUACUUCUGACCUAUCACCAGCAGAAUUACUUGCGAAAGCUCUUGCCAAGGCUGCUGGCUAUUCUGAGAUCAAGACUCGAUCGCUUCUUACUUCUAUGGAGAACUGUGUUACUCUGCUUCUCGAGUGUGGGAGACCCAUCUUCUCACCUUCCUUUGUCUAUAGUUUCCUGAGGAGGUUCUUGCCUGAGGAGAAGGUUGAAUCAAUCAAUGGUCUUACUUUGACAGCUGAUGGAAAGGGGGCAGUUUUUGAUGUUGCUGCUGAGCACUUGGAUGAAUUUCUCUCAGGCCAAAAAACUGCACAUGGGGUAAAUAUAGAGGUUGUGGAAGCGCUGCCUCCUUUGCAAGAGAGAGAGAAGCCAAGAGGUGGAAGAUUUGGAGGUGGUGGCCGUGGCGGCGGCUUCGGUAACAGAAGAGGCGGAGGUGGCUUUUCUGGAGGAAGAGGGGGGAGAGGUAAUGGCAACUUUGGUCGCAGAUGGUAAGGAAUGGCGACAUAAUUUUUUUGAUAGCUGACAAUACAAGAGUUUGUCCAAGGCUGCGUUCAAAAUUUUGGUAUAGUGAAGAAAAUGUAUGGGACUUCAGUAAGGUUUCUUCUGUAUUAAUUUUACUAAUUUAUAUAGGUUUCUCCUCCCUGUACCCUGCUUCAUUAUGCUUUUCGCUAGUUAGCUUUCUUGUAGUGUUCUUCCAUGUUUUACUAUAUUUUUGGUUAGACACUUGAAAAGUUAUUAUUUAUUUUGUAUGGUAUUGUUACCUGAAGAAAUCAUAUUCAAUUCAAGUUCAAUUUACUAUAUGUUUG